ACAAAACAAAAUUGCAAUUCCCAAUAUUCCUGGUCCUCACCUACAAGGCCCUCCACCAUCUGGCCCCCUCAUACGUACUGACCUCCUCUCCCCCUACCAA